rnacentral:rRNA from 1 species
CAGCACCUCAAGUGGUCAGGAUGAUUAUUGGGCCUAAAGCAUCCGUAGCCGGCGCUGUAAGUUUUCGGUUAAAUCUGUACGCUCAACGUACAGGCUGCCGGGAAUACUGCAGAGCUAGGGAGUGGGAGAGGUAGACGGUACUCGGUAGGAAGGGGUAAAAUCCUUUGAUCUAUUGAUGACCACCUGUGGCGAAGGCGGUCUACCAGAACACGUCCGACGGUGAGGGACGAAAGCUGGGGGAGCAAACCGGAUUAGAUACCCGAGUAGUCC